rnacentral:hammerhead_ribozyme from 1 species
GCACCGCUGACGAGUCCCAAACAGGAGGAAACAACUGUCUAGUAC